rnacentral:rRNA from 1 species
CCGUCUGGUACGCGGCAGGGAUCAUUACCGUAUAAUUUCAACUCCCUAACCCUUCUGUGAACCUACCUAUCGUUGCUUCGGCGGACUCGCCCCAGCCCGGACGCGGACUGGACCAGCGGCCCGCCGGGGACCUCAAACUCUUGUAUUCCAGCAUCUUCUGAAUACGCCGCAAGGCAAAACAAAUGAAUCAAAACUUUCAACAACGGAUCUCUUGGCUCUGGCAUCGAUGAAGAACGCAGCGAAACGCGAUAAGUAAUGUGAAUUGCAGAAUCCAGUGAAUCAUCGAAUCUUUGAACGCACAUUGCGCCCGCCAGCAUUCUGGCGGGCAUGCCUGUUCGAGCGUCAUUUCAACCCUCGACCCCCCCUUGGGGAGGUCGGCGUUGGGGACCGGCAGCACACCGCCGGCCCUGAAAUGGAGUGGCGGCCCGUCCGCGGCGACCUCUGCGUAGUAAUACAGCUCGCACCGGAACCCCGACGCGGCCACGCCGUAAAACACCCAACUUCUGAACGUUGACCUCGAAUCAGGUAGGACUACCCGCUGAACUUAAGCAUAUCAAAAUGGGGAGGAAAU